GGAUGCGAUCAUACCAGCACUAAAGCACCGGAUUCCAUCAGAACUCCGAAGUUAAGCGUGCUUGGGCGAGAGUAGUACUAGGAUGGGUGACCUCCUGGGAAGUCCUCGUGUUGCAUCCC
rnacentral:rRNA from 1 species